AUGGUCAACACGCAGCCACCGCGGAACUUGCGGGGCGGCGGCGGCGCGCAGCGACAGGACAAGUUGAGGGACCAGGAGAGGAUGAUAACAGAGGCGGACGUGGUGAAGCUGCCAUACCUGCAGGCCGCGGUGAAGGAGUCGAUGCGGCUGCAACCCGUGGCGCCUUUGUUGUUGCCACACCUGGUGGUGGAGGAGGGCAUGGAGAUAGGCGGAUACGCCGUGCCCAAGGGCGCAGCCAUAAUCUUCAACUCAUGGUCCAUCAUGCGCGACCCGGCGACAUGGGAGAAGCCUGAGGAGUUCAUGCCGGAGCGUUUCCUAGGGAAGACGGAGCUCGACAUGUGGGGGAAGGAGGUCAAGUUUAUCCCGCUGGGCACCGGCCGGAGGCUGUGCCCAGCAUUGACCAGGUGGACGUGA
rnacentral:rRNA from 1 species